rnacentral:rRNA from 12 species
UGGGUAUAGGGGCGAAAGACUAAUCGAACCAUCUAGUAGCUGGUUCCCUCCGAAGUUUCCCCCAGGAUAGCUGGAGCUUGAUUCAGUUUCGUCAGGUAAAGCGAAUGAUUAGAGGUUCGGGGGAUGAAACAUCCUUCACCUAUUCUCAAACUUUAAAUAGGCGAGACGCGUAGGUUGCUUAAUUGAACCUGCGCAAUCAAUGUGAGCUCCAAGUGGGCCAUUUUUGGUAAGCAGAACUGGCGAUGCGGGAUGAACCGAUAGUUGAGUUAAGGUGCCAAACUACGCGCUAACCUAGAUCCCACAAAGGGUGUUGAUUCAUAUAGACAGCAGGACGGUGGUCAUGGAAGUCGAAAUCCGCUAAGGAGUGUGUAACAACUCACCUGCCGAAUGAACUAGCCCUGAAAAUGGAUGGCGCUUAAGCGUGUUACCUAUACCUCACCGUCAAUGUUAGAGCGAUGCGUUGACGAGUAGGCAGGCGUGGAGGUUGUAUCGAAGCCUAGGCAGUGAUGCUGGGUGGAACAGCCUCUAGUGCAGAUCUUGGUGGUAGUAGCAAAUAUUCAAGUGAGAACCUUGAAGACUGAAGUGGAGAAAGGUUCCAUGGUAACAGCAGUUGGACAUGGGUGAGCCGAUCCUAAGAGAUAGGGUAGUUCCGUAUGAAAGUUGCGCGAUUCUUCGCGCCGCCUAUCGAAAGGGAAGCCGGUUAAAAUUCCGGCGCCAGGAUAUGGAUGUUAGACGGCAACGUAAACGAACCAGGAGACGUCGGCGAGGGCCCUGGAAAGAGUUCUCUUUUCUUUCUUACAGUCUACCACCCUGAAAUCGAUUUAUUCGGAGCUAGGGUUCUAUGGCUGGUAGAGCUCGGCACUUC